GGGGGGGGGGGGGGGGGGGGCAGCUUGACUCAGCUACCCUUAUAAAUGGCUCCUCAUGGUUUUCUCUUAAAAUUAAGGCCUUCCUUGCGAGACAAGAAUCUUCACCAUCUGAAUUAUGAGUGCCCAUCGUCAUUCCUUCUUCUCCCCUUUACUGGAUCUGGAUCUGGACACUCAUUAUCAGCUUGCGCAUCUAACUGCUGAUAUCAUGGUGCUACUUAACUAUCUUCGCAGCACCCCCUCUGGAAAUGGAAAUGCGGGGUCCGUCCCCCCCCCCGAUACAAAAUCUGCCCCGUGAACGUGUGUAUUGACGCCUCUACACAGCCAAAACCCCCCUCCAGCUUUCAGUCUGAGGAAGAUGUCACCUUCUCUGACCUGGUCCCCGACCAUUCUUCCCACUUCUCACCUGCCAGUCCGCCCCACUCUCAGUGGUCCUCUCACUUCACCUUUGCUGACUUUCCCAUGUCCCCAGGACGCACCCCAUUUUCUUCCCCCCACCACUCUCCUCAAGAUUACGCACCCACCAGUCCUGUGAAUUAUCAAUAAAACUACAUAUUACUCAUACUAAGUGUCCCUCAUGUUUAUUUCAUGUCAUUUUUAUCCACAACACAGCCCACCUGAAGUACAUUGACAAUGUCUCGAGAGUCCUUGAAUGGAUGAAAUCAUUGUGCCAGCGGUACAAGGUCACUCCGGCCAAGUUAUUUCUGACGCGUGUUUCCAAGUUCCUCCAUUAACUUGAUGAGAGGCUGUCCGAGGGCCGAGUUGGCUCCACGAGGCUGUGGAGUCUCCAGAGACUGCUGCAGUGGGAGUGCAGACAUCUGUCCGGUCGAGUCGUGCUCCACAGGCAAGGCGUGCGAGCGGAGAAGAGUGAGGGAGUACUUACAGCUCCUGCACGGCAAACUGUCGGACGCUGUCCCUGUUUCACUGGAUGAUCUGAACUCGUCCAGCAGACCCGGACAUGCUCAACCAUUGCAUCGGGCUGCUGUGUGCUCACUUCUUUUCGGUCAGCGGACACAGGACCGGAGUCCUGCAGAACCUCACGACUGAGGAGUUUGAGAACCUCGAGAAGGCUGAAUCUUUCUGAUCAAUGUGAAGCAGCACAAACCUGCCUCUGCUUUUGGACUCGCUAAGCUAGCCGUCACCAAGCUGGAGCUGAAGUGGCUGAAAGCUUUCUGCCACCUGAGGAAGCAUAUGCCGGGAUAUGAGACUUCUGUGGGGUGGCUUUUCUUUUCUGGCACACAGGCCAGGAUUUCUGCGCAUGUCAAGCUUGCCCUGCGGGCACUCGUGGGAAGGGACAUCACUGUGUCGGACAUCCCCACAGCUCUAGCAACCUACUGCGAACGCAAAAGACGAACAACGCAUGCUCGUGACCAAGACGAUGUGCUACAGCAAUUAGCUGAGUCGUGGAGCUGUCGGUCAGCGAGGCGCACUCCGCCCAGUCUUCGCUAGAGUCCGCUGCGGGCAUAGGUGCUACAUAGGCCGGUUGUGUUUGGCUAAUGGCCCUGUGUGUGUGUGUGUGUGUGUGUGUGUGUGUGUGUGUGUGUGUGUGUGUGUGUGUGUGUGUGUGUAAAUAUUUCAUUAAAAUGUUUGAACUGAAUUCCCAUUGUCUUAAUAUUUUGACAUGUCCAAAAGUACAGUAGCAUCACUCAUGGCGAGACCACACAGCCGAAAUUUCCGAAAGUACAUGGACUGAGCUCCGGGCAGUGGGUGAAGUUCGCAGGCUUUGCCCAGGGAGAGAGUGUCAUCCUGGGCAUACACUCGUGAGCUCCAGGCUGAUCACUGCUGAAUUUUUUCCUCGUUGAUUUCAAUGGUUUAUGCGUUCCUAGUCAGGACAAGCUACUGUUUGUUGCACCUCUUCCAUCCUCCUCCACGGUCUGAAGCCAGCUGCAGCCACCUUUUCAUCAGCGUCACAAUCUCAGCACUUGUUGCCCUUGAUGUUAACGUGUUCUUUCGGACAGCAUCUAAUGAACAUGAGGCAAAACAGUUGACAACUUCUGCAAUUCGAGACACGCUAAAAAGGCUAUUUAUACUUCUACGUCAGACCUUUGCGUUGCCUGAUGUGCACCUCUAAAAAAACUGUAAUAACAUCUGUGUAUGCAGACAACAGUUGUGAUUGGUCCUUUGUGCAAACAGAGACCCUCCCCGGGGAUGAUAAAUAUAUCUGCAGUAAUUUCAUAUUCACUGAGAAUAAAUGUAA